AUACGUAGGGUGCAAGCGUUAAUCGGAAUUACUGGGCGUAAAGCGUGCGCAGGCGGUUAUAUAAGACAGAUGUGAAAUCCCCGGGCUCAACCUGGGAACUGCAUUUGUGACUGUAUAGCUAGAGUACGGCAGAGGGGGAUGGAAUUCCGCGUGUAGCAGUGAAAUGCGUAGAUAUGCGGAGGAACACCGAUGGCGAAGGCAAUCCCCUGGGCCUGUACUGACGCUCAUGCACGAAAGCGUGGGGAGCAAACAGGAUUAGAUACCCUAGUAGUCC
rnacentral:rRNA from 1 species